UGAACCUUCGUGUUUGUUCCUCACACAGCCGGCCGGGCUCUCCCAAGCGCUGGGACAGGACUAUCCUUCAAGCCAAGCAUCGGCCGUCUUGGGGAGCUCAGCUGUUGCCUGUUGCAGAAGGAUCACCCCAGCUGAGCUUGUAGAUAGGGUUUCUCUGUGUAGAACAGACUAUCCUCGAACUCAGAGAACCACCUGCCUCCAUCUCCAGAGCUCUGGGAUUAAAGGGAUCCAGACAGGAGCAUGGCUGAUGUCUUGAACGCUUCCUGAUGUGGGGAGUGCUUGAUGCUGACGAGGAAAGGAAGAGAUUCUAAAACAACACUUUAGGACAUCCCUCUAUUGCAAAGGCCAGGGCAGAGUGAAUGUGCGGUCCUAAUGUUCUGUGGCCCCGCCCUGCCUAGGCCAGUGCAGAGCGAAUGUGCUGUUCUAACGUAUUAUGGCCGCCAGAGGGCAGAACUGAGUCAAGAAGAAGAGAAGAGCAGGAGAUGGCCGCUCAGAAACAAAAAGCUAAAGAAACUGAGAUCGCUAACGGCCGCCAGAGAAGCACAUUCCAGCGCGUAUUCUCAGUGCCUUGGCAUUUCAGUGUGGCUUUCUGUCCAUCCAAGUCCAUCCCAGUACAGGGUUGAGUUUGCAACCCUUUCCUUGGUGGGUGUUAUGGUGCAUGCCAGUGACUCCAGAGGCUGGCAGGCCACGAUUGCCUUAUUGAGUUUGAGCUAAUUUGUGUCCAGCAGACUCUCU
rnacentral:lncRNA from 1 species